AUACUUACCUGGCAGGGGAAAACCACGAUCAAGAAGGUGGUGUCUCCAGGGCAGGGCUCUUCCAUUGCACACUUCGGUUGGGUUGACCACUGUAAUUUCCUCAAAUGUAGGAAACUCAACUGCAUAAUUUAUGGUAGUGGGCGAUUGUGUUUGUGCAGUGCCAAA